rnacentral:tRNA from 1 species
GGGGUUGUAGCUCAGUGGUAGAGUGCUUGCCUAGCACACAUGAGGCACUGGGUUCAAACCUCAGCACCACA